AGAGUUUGAUCAUGGCUCAGAACGAACGCUGGCGGCAGGCUUAACACAUGCAAGUCGAACGGGCGUAGCAAUACGUCAGUGGCAGACGGGUGAGUAACACGUGGGAACCUUCCUAGGGGUACGGAACAACUCAGGGAAACUUGAGCUAAUACCGUAUACGUCCGUGAGGAGAAAGAUUUAUCGCCCUUAGACGGGCCCGCGUCGGAUUAGCUAGUUGGUGGGGUAACGGCCUACCAAGGCGACGAUCCGUAGCUGAUCUGAGAGGAUGAUCAGCCACACUGGGACUGAGACACGGCCCAGACUCCUACGGGAGGCAGCAGUGGGGAAUCUUGGACAAUGGGCGCAAGCCUGAUCCAGCCAUGCCGCGUGAGUGAAGAAGGCCUUCGGGUUGUAAAGCUCUUUUGUCAGGGACGAUAAUGACGGUACCUGAAGAAUAAGCCCCGGCAAACUUCGUG
rnacentral:rRNA from 1 species